rnacentral:lncRNA from 1 species
UUAUUGAUAUUUCUUUGUGGAUGAUUUAGGCUUUGCAUAAGUGGCAGCACAUUUUUAUGCAGCUCAAUUCGUUCAAAUGUUGUGUUCAUAAGAUCAUCUGAAAGCCAAUUACAAUAUUCUUGUUGAUGACUUCUUGUUGAUGGAAUAACCCAAGGAUUAGUGGCAACGCAACAGACAUUCCAACAUAUGCCUACUGCACUAAUUCCAUUCUGUUGGUAAGAAACAUACUUGCAGUUCUAGCGAUGAAUGCUAUGUUAUGUUUGCUACAACCUGAAAUAUAUUUAGAUGGGAACAUAAAGUAUUGUAUAUGGGAACUCCUAUGGUAAAUGAAGAU